GCUUUCUUGAGGCACAGUGUGUAGAGCAUUGUGCCAACAAUACAAAGAUUGUGGGUUCGAACCUCAGAGAAAGCA